GUGAAGUCUUCUUAUGAAGUGGAUUUGCUCCUUCAUCUUUCAGUACAUGAUGUCAGUCUCAAGCAAUAGCAGGCCUUUUAUUUCCCAGAAGAUACUCAUCACUGUGGGCAAACUAAUGACACAUGUUAAGGAAUUCAGUCUUAUGGAAAUCAUCUAAAGGUUUAGAAAUUAGCCACUGAUGAUCUCUAUCAAGAAGAAAGACUAUGCUAUCCUCUCAUAUGCCUUCUGAACAGCAAGAAUGAAAAUUCUUUCCAAAAUCAUAGUGGGAUUUUCAAUACCCACACAGAAAAGUUCAGAGACAGGUUUCCAUUUUUUCUGGACUGAGUGCAAAUUUCUACUAAAAAACAAAACAACAAAGCAAAAAAAAAAAAAAAUCAGAACGAAAACAGCUGAUAAAAGCAGUUUGGCCCUAAGAAUAGAUGAACGAAUAGCAGUACUCCUUAAAGGCCUG
rnacentral:lncRNA from 1 species